rnacentral:sRNA from 1 species
GAGUGUCACUCUGUCCCCCAGUCUGGCGUGCAAUGGUUUGAUCUCGGCUCACUGCAACCUCCACCUCCCGGGUUCAACCUCCUGCCUCAGCCUUCCGAGCAGCUGGGACUACAGGAGCCUGCCACCACAUCUGGCGAAUUUUUGUAUUUUUAGUAGAGAAGGGGGUUCAGCAUGUUGUCCAGGUUGGUCUUGAACUCCUGACCUCAGGUGAUCCAGCCACUUUGGCCUCACAGAGUGCUGGGAUUAUAGGCCAGAGCCAUGGCGCCCGGCCCACUCAGCAGGAUUCCUAGAAUGGGCAGGAGCUCUGCCCUCAUCAGAGUCCAAAAGUGAGCACCUGGCUGGAGCUGCCCAGAAACAGCCUUGGGGGGUGGGGUUGGUGUCUGACCUCCCUCCCCGGGGGCCUUCGCAGGCUUCUGCUGGUGCUUCUGUGCCUGUGGGUCUGGAUUCCUCCAGGGCCUGAUCCUGGGUGCAGAUGCGGCUGGAAGCCCUGAGCCUGCUGCACACACUAGUCUGGGCACGGAGUCUCUGCCGUGUCGGAGCCGUGCAGACACAGGAGCGGCUGUCAGGCAGCGCCAGCCCUGAGCAAGUGCCAGCUGGUGAGUGCUGUGCUCUGCAGGAGUAUGAGGCCGCCGUGGAGCAGCUCAAGAGCGAGCAGAUCCGGGCGCAGGCUGAGGAGAGGAGGAAGACCCUGAGCGAGGAGACCCGGCAGCACCAGGCCAGGGCCCAGUAUCAAGACAAGCUGUCCCGGCAGCGCUACGAGGACCAACUGAAGCAGCAGCAACUUCUCAAUGAAGAGAAUUUACGGAAGCAGGAGGAGUCCGUGCAGAAGCAGGAAGGCAUACGGCGAGCCACCGUGGAGCGGGAGAUGGAGCUGCGGCACAAGAACGAGAUGCUGCGAGUGGAGGCCGAGGCCCGGGCGCGCGCCAAGGCCGAGCGGGAGAAUGCAGACAUCAUCCGCGAGCAGAUCCGCCUGAAGGCGGCCGAGCACCGUCAGACCGUCUUGGAGUCCAUCAGGACGGCUGGCACCUUGUUUGGGGAAGGAUUCCGUGCCUUUGUGACAGACCGGGACAAAGUGACAGCCACGGUGGCUGGGCUGACGCUGCUGGCUGUCGGGGUCUACUCAGCCAAGAAUGCGACAGCCGUCACUAGCCGCUUCAUCGAAGCUCGGCUGGGGAAGCCGUCCCUAGUGAGGGAGACGUCCCGCAUCACGGUGCUGGAGGCGCUGCGGCACCCCAUCCAGGUCAGCCGGCGGCUCCUCAGUCGACCCCAGGACGUGCUGGAGGGUGUUGUGCUGAGUCCCAGCCUGGAAGCACGGGUGCGCGACAUCGCCAUAGCAACAAGGAACACCAAGAAGAACCGGGGCCUGUACAGGCACAUCCUGCUGUACGGGCCACCAGGCACCGGGAAGACGCUCUUUGCCAAGAAACUCGCCCUGCACUCAGGCAUGGACUACGCCAUCAUGACAGGCGGGGACGUGGCCCCCAUGGGGCGGGAAGGCGUGACCGCCAUGCACAAGCUCUUUGACUGGGCCAAUACCAGCCGGCGCGGCCUCCUGCUCUUCAUGGAUGAAGCAGACGCCUUCCUUCGGAAGCGAGCCACCGAGGAGAUAAGCAAGGACCUCAGAGCCACACUGAACGCCUUCCUGUACCACAUGGGCCAGCACAGCAACAAAUUCAUGCUGGUCCUGGCCAGCAAUCUGCCUGAGCAGUUUGACUGCGCCAUCAACAGCCGCAUCGACGUGAUGGUCCACUUCGACCUGCCGCAGCAGGAGGAGCGGGAGCGCCUGGUGAGACUGCAUUUUGACAACUGUGUUCUUAAGCCAGCCACAGAAGGAAAACGGCGCCUGAAGCUGGCCCAGUUUGACUACGGGAGUAAGUGCUCGGAGGUCGCUCGGCUGACGGAGGGCAUGUCGGGCCGGGAGAUCGCUCAGCUGGCCGUGUCCUGGCAGGCCACGGCGUAUGCCUCCAAGGACGGGGUCCUCACUGAGGCCAUGAUGGACGCCUGUGUGCAAGAUGCUGUCCAGCAGUACCGACAGAAGAUGCGCUGGCUGAAGGCGGAGGGGCCUGGGCGCGGGGUUGAGCACCCCCUAUCCCGAGUCCAAGGCGAGACUCGCACCUCAUGGAGCCUGGCCGCGGACCCCUCCUACCCCUGCCUUGCCGGCCCCUGCACAUUUAGGAUAUGCUCCUGGGUGGGGACUGGGCUGUGCCCAGGGCCUCUGUCCCCCAGGAUGUCUUGUGGUGGGGGUCAGCCGUUCUGCCCCUCAGGACACCCCCUGUUGUAGGCACUGGCUAGGGAGGGGCAGGCCUCCUUCCUGCCCCUCGAGACACUCUUGGGAGAUGCAUUUUCCGUCUGGCUCACAGGGGGAGGGUGAGGCUUUGUACCCCAGCCCCUGCCCAGGCCACUGGGAGGGUGGGUGCUGGCUGAGCCCCUGGGGCAGAAGGAGUGGGGCAGGCGGGGUCUUUGUUCUUGGCUCCCACAGCAGAGCCAGGUGAGCCGGGGCCUGUCAGGACUAGACAGAAGUGGGGCGGCCUGAACACUGCUUCCAGCCGUGGCCAGGGAACCUGGCAGGGGUGUCUGAGGCCGCACUGUCGGCUGGCCGGUCCAAGCCUGUGGCUGGAGCUGGUGUGUGUUUAUCUAAUAAAGUCCCACAGGUGCCUCACCACCGUGUCUCUCUAUUGACUGACACUACUCGGGGUUUCAGGGGCGCCCUAGCGUCCUCCUGGGGUCAAAGGUGACAUAAGAGGCAGAGGCUGGAGCUUUCUGGAGAAUUUACUGAUCACAGAGCGGUGCGCUUCACAUCAGCCUCACGCCACAGCUGGGUUGGGGUCUGAAUGCUGCCCGGGACUGGCCGCCUGCGCCCCACCAGCCCCUCCCUCCUGAAGGCCGGGCCCCCGAGAAGAAUGAGGCUGCAGAGUGAUGUGGGGGCCAGCGGUGACUUCAUGACCACACUGUGCUCAGGUGUAAGAGGGCACGCUUCUGCCCAGGCAUCGUCCAUGGAAGACACGCAGUCGGCCACUGCAGCCUCGGUCCUGGAUGCCCUGGGGCUGGGUCACUGGGGGCCACAGGCCACACUGGGAGACCACAGUCCUGGCGUACCAUGCAGCUCCCUGUCCCCAGAGGUCUGCUCAGAUGCAGAGAGCUCAGGAAGCACACUCGCUGCCUGAAUUCUGGGAGCAGAGCGUGGUACCCACUGCCUGGCUGGGGCCUACUCUGGCACUGCAGCCCCUGUCCCCGCUGGCCCAGGCUUCCGGAGGCAGCUGCGUCCCUGUCUUGGCUCAAGGUCAGGCUGGAGGCCAGGCUGUCCACCUGCAUCUGGAACCUGCACAGUCACUCCUCCAGGUCCUCGCUGCUGGAGGACUCCCAGACAGGAAACCUUUGCUUUGGGGGCAGGGCGGGGUGCAAGGGUGGUCGGGGGAAUCACAGCAACGAAACAGCACAGUGCCACGGCGCAGAGCCUCAUAUUAUUGGUGGAUGAAACAAUGCUUUCUGAACUUUGUGUCCUUAGGAAGGGUGUAGGCUGUUGGUUGAAGUAGGAAACAGAAGAGGAGCCUGGGCACGCAACGGGCCCAUCGGAGAGCAGACCCCUCGGAGCUGCAGUGCUUGGAGGGAGGCUGUCUACCUCUGCUCGCUCUCUCCAUUUCUCUCUUUUUCCUUUUAGAGAUGGGUUCUUACUCUGAGCCCAGGCUGGAGUGCAGUGGUGUGAUUAUAGCUCACUGCAGCCUCGACCUCCCAGGCUCAAGUGAUGCUCCUGCCUCAGCCUGUCCAGUAGCCAUACCCUACUAGGCCCUAAUUAGCCCCAGAGGCGUGCACCACCACACCCGCUAAUGGUAAAAAUUUGUUGUAGAGACUGAGUCUUGCUGUAAUGCCCAGGCUGGUCUCCAACUCUUGGCCUCAAGAGAUCCUGCCGCCUCUACAGGAUGAGCCACCAAGCCUGGCCUCAAUUCCUCUUUAAAGGAAUAGCCUAAAUCUUAAACCAGCAAUCAAUACUUUGUAUUUAAAAUUAAGCCAGAUUAGACCGGGCUAGGUGGUUCACCCCUGUAAUCCCAGCACUUUGGGAGGCCAAGGCGGGUGAACCAUGAGGUCAGGAGUUCGAGACCAUCCUGGCUAACAUGGCAAAACCCUGUCUCUACUAAAAAUACAAAAAAAUUAGCCGGCAUGGUGGUGGGUGACUGUAAUCCCAGCUACUCGGGAGGCUGAGGCAGGAGACUCGCUUGGACCUGGGAGGGAGAGGUUGCAGUGAGCCGAGAUGGAGCCACUGCACUCUGGCCUGGGCAAUG